AGGGUUUGAUCCUGGCUCAGAGUGAACGCUGGCGGCAGGCCUAACACAUGCAAGUCGAGCGGCAGCGCGGGGGCAACCCUGGCGGCGAGCGGCGGACGGGUGAGGAAUGCGUCGGAAUCUGCCUCUUUGUGGGGGAUAACGUAGGGAAACUUACGCUAAUACCGCAUACGACCUACGGGUGAAAGUGGGGGACCGCAAGGCCUCACGCAGAGAGAUGAGCCGACGCCGGAUUAGCUAGUUGGCGGGGUAAAGGCCCACCAAGGCGACGAUCCGUAGCUGGUCUGAGAGGAUGAUCAGCCACACUGGAACUGAGACACGGUCCAGACUCCUACGGGAGGCAGCAGUGGGGAAUAUUGGACAAUGGGCGCAAGCCUGAUCCAGCCAUGCCGCGUGUGUGAAGAAGGCCUUCGGGUUGUAAAGCACUUUUGUCCGGAAAGAAAAGCUUUCGAUUAAUACUCGGGAGUCAUGACGGUACCGGAAGAAUAAGCACCGGCUAACUUCGUGCCAGCAGCCGCGGUAAUACGAAGGGUGCAAGCGUUACUCGGAAUUACUGGGCGUAAAGCGUGCGUAGGUGGUUCGUUAAGUCUGAUGUGAAAGCCCUGGGCUCAACCUGGGAAUGGCAUUGGAUACUGGCGACCUAGAGUGCGGUAGAGGGUAGCGGAAUUCCCGGUGUAGCAGUGAAAUGCGUAGAUAUCGGGAGGAACAUCCGUGGCGAAGGCGGCUACCUGGACCAGCACUGACACUGAGGCACGAAAGCGUGGGGAGCAAACAGGAUUAGAUACCCUGAUAGUCCACGCCCUAAACGAUGCGAACUGGAUGUUGGGUGCAACUUGGCACUCAGUAUCGAAGCUAACGCGUUAAGUUCGCCGCCUGGGAAGUACGGUCGCAAGA
rnacentral:rRNA from 1 species